UACGGAGGGUGCAAGCGUUAUCCGGAUUCACUGGGUUUAAAGGGUGCGUAGGUGGGCAAGUAAGUCAGUGGUGAAAUCUCCGGGCUUAACCCGGAAACUGCCAUUGAUACUAUUUGUCUUGAAUACUGUGGAGGUCAGCGGAAUAUGUCAUGUAGCGGUGAAAUGCUUAGAUAUGACAUAGAACACUAAUUGCGAAGGCAGCUGGCUACACAAAUAUUGACACUGAGGCACGAAAGCGUGGGGAUCAAACAGG
rnacentral:rRNA from 1 species